rnacentral:lncRNA from 1 species
UGCAGUGAAGAGGAGGCAGCAUGGAGAGGAGGCAGCAUGGAGAGGAAGGCAGCAGGAUGGCGUUGGAGAGGAAGGCAGCAGGACGGCGUGGAGAGGAAGGCAGCAGGAUGCGUGGAGAGGAAGGCAGCAUGAGAGGAAGGCAGCAUGGAGAGGAAGGCAGCAGGACGGUGUGGAGAGGAAGGCAGCAGGACGGU